UCUGGUCGAUUCUUGAUUGUUCUCUUUCAUAUUAUAGUUUAAUUUAGAGUUUCUUUUUUAUGUUUAAUAUUGCUUCUUGCUCCAAUUUGAGAAUUCAUUUGGAGUUUUUUUUUUUUUUGGUUAUGAGCUCAAUUUAAGACUUUUUGGUUCUUUGUUAGUGGUUAUGAACUCAAUUUGGGUCUUUUUGAUUUUGGACUUUUUUGAUUCUUUGUUAGUGGUUAUGAACUGAAUUUGAGGCUUUUCGUUCUUUGUUAGAAACUAAAUUCCGAAUAAUAAGAUUUACUAUCCAAAAAAAUAAAUUGUUGUGUUGUAAUAAGAUUAAAUAUCUCUUCUUGCAUAGAAAUUUCAUGCUUUUCUUUUUAUCUUGUACAAUUUUGAUUUAUAUUUUUCAAAUCUGAAUCUCUGUACCUUUAAUUUUGUUUAGGUUAUUCCGUAUUUUUGAUCUCUCCAUCUUAAAUUUUGAUUUGCUUAUUUGAUAUUUUUGGAUUCCAAUUGUGCCAUCUUCAUUUUCAAAAGUCAUGUAAAGAUCUUAUUUUUGAUUUAUUUCAGCAAAAAAGGCAAACUUAAUUAUAUGUAAAGAAAAAUCUUUCUGGAUUUGUUAAUUUUAUGCUUCGUUGUUUCUCUUUCUCAGCUUGUCACCCUCUGUUUUGAAAUUAUUUUAACUUGUAUUGUGAAAUUAAGCCAAAAUUUAUUUUGGACUGCUACAUAUAUGUCUGUCGCAGUAGCAUCAACUCAUUAGUUCGCCCUCUUUUAACUCUUCGAACCGUGGAUCAAUUCUGUAUGUUCGUCAAUUUCAUUCUUCCACUGUUGUGAAUAACUUUAGUUGAUUAAGCUUUGUGAAAUGCAUAGGAAUAGAGUUUCUUCGGUAGAUAAGCUUUAUGUGAAUACUUUAUAGUUUGCUUCAGGUUUGGGACAAAUCAGCAUUUUUAGAAUUAUUCUCAAGUGGAAUUUAGGAUAAGACUAUGCUGUAAGCAAACCUAGAAAUAGAAAGACUAUUCUGAUAGAUUUUCGUAUUAAAUAUUUUAAUAUUUCAAAUUUCCCUGAACCAAAGUGAUUUACAUAUUCUAUCAAAUUAUCGGAAGGAAAAUUAUUGUAGUUUUAAUUAGUUGAAUGGAUUAUUUUUUGCUUGUAAUAUGAGGCAAAGGGAUAGUGGUGUAAGGUUAGCAUGAGAAGUGGUCGUUUGAAUGUAAUUCGAAUUGAUUAGCUAAGUUUCCAGGGGAUGAAUGUUGAAUUUUAUUGGGUAGUAGUUAUUGUUGUUCAUAUUAGGACAGAAAUGAUCUGGUUUCGAACAGAAACUAACAACACAGACCUUAAAAGACGAUAAAUCAGAUGAAAUUACUGUAGUUUCAGUUAGUGGAGUGAAUUAUUUAUGUCUUAGCGGUGUAAAGUUAGCUAGGGAAAUGGUCCAUUGAGUGUAAUUGAAACUGUGUAGAUAAGGUUCCAGGGAAGGAAAUAUUGAAUUCUAUUAGGCAGUAGUCACUUAUUUUACAUGUAAAAAUCAAAAUAAUCAGGUGUCCUAUGAAAGCUACAAAACAGACCUCGAAAGGCCAUAAAUCAGAGAGUUAUUGUAGUUCAGUUAGUCAAGUGAAUUAUUUGUGUCUUGUAAUGUGAGGAAAGGAAUAGUGGUGUAAAGUUUAGUCUUAUAUGUUCGACAAGGUUCGUUAGCCAGGGAAGUGGUCCUUUGUAGAUGCUGCAUUCAUUCUGAAUGUAAUUCCAACUGUCUAGCCAAGGUUUCAGGGAAGGAAAUGUUUAACUUUAUUGGGGAGUAGUUGCUUAUUGUUCAGGCCCUCACUCAUAUAGUUCAUUAGGUUAUGCGGUGCGAGUAAUUCUAAAGAAUUUUCCCCUUUGUAGAGUAGGUAGACUAUGCAGGAAUUUAUAGUAUGUAGACAAUGAUGGAAUUUGUUAUUAAACAUCUGUAGCAUAGUGAUGCCACAGAUUAUUAAGAAGUUGUUUAUAGAGUGGCAAUCCGAAACAAUAUCCAUAAAGCUGAAGUUCACAUGGAGGACGACUCCAUUGUGCUAUGUUUACUUACAUCAGCUCUCUUCCAAUCAGUCAUGUUCAGCGAAAUUGUUCAUCAUGUCAAUCAUUGACAAAGACAUCGCUAACAAUCCACCAAUGUCGAUAGCUGGAACAGCUACUUCAGACAAUAGUAAACGCAAACUCAAACAUUAUGACAAAGAAAGACUGAAACGUAUCUCAUUCACAUGUCUUUCACCUUUUCAAUAAAUUAUGUUCAGUAAUAUGACUAACAUCUAAUUGUCAGUGUUUAGUUUUUGUGUACCAGUGAUAGAUUUAUUUGUGGCCAAAAUUUAGUCAAUUGGGUGACUUCAAAAGUUACAGAAAUGUUUGUCUGUGUGACUUUUUAAUCAUUAGUCUGCUAGAUGUGAACUUUUAGUAUGGUGUUUAAUUUUGUAAGGGUACAAAUGGGGUAAAGGAUAGAGAAAUUUCUUAGUUUAUGUCCCUCCCAAUGGAAGAUUUACCAUUUACCUCCCCUUCUUUGGAAUAAGUGGAAGGGUUAAAGAGAUAUAUUUUCUCCAGUUAGUCCUUUAAGGGCCAAAAGAGCUAACUUGGAUAGGUAUUUUCUCGGCCCUUCACUUGUACUCCUCUCUCCAAUUCUUCUUUUCUGUUUGAAACAUAGUUAAGCAUUCCCAAGCUGUUGUAAAUGAUUAGCUUUUUCAAAGUGGAUAAAGAAUGUGGUAAAAAGAUGAAACUAUUCUGGUGCCAGGAAUAGGUUCACACUCCAUUUGAAUGCAAGGUGGGUGGUUAUUUUAUUUUUUUGUAGUCUCUUUCCAAUAGGAUAUAAAGAUUAGACGAGUUAUCAAACUUCUAUUUAGUGGAUCACAAAAACUAAAUUUAUAUGUUGAUUAACUUAUUUCCUUUUGCUUCAGGUAUUAUGAGGUUUCAGCACCUCAAAAUGCUUUAAUUUCUUGAGCACCGACUAAUGAAGAAAGAUAAUCUAAAUUUAUGCAAAUCAAAUUUUGCUCCGCUCACAUGCUUUAAUAAGUUACGACUUAAUAUUUCAUUCAUCUAUAUAACCUUUUGCACUGAUUCUAGCUUAAAAUAUUUUCUACAUCUCUUUAUUGUUGGAUAAUCAUCUUGAUCUUUUUAAAAUGAAUGCUAUCAUUACACCAUGAGAUGUGAAUAUUUUUUCAAUAAACGAGAUUUAUUUUAAUGUUCAUUUGUCUCACAUAGUAUUAGGAUACAACAGAUAAGUGGAUGGAUUGAAUUGUAGGGGUACUUGGUCUUCUUGUUGACGAGGUUCCAGUUUCUCAUAUUUAUAUGGAGGUUGUGAGAAAAUGAAUUUGUUUAGUCUACUUUAAAAUAAAGACUCUAGUCCGAAUGAGAUGAGAUGAUACAUAUAGCAUUAUGAACAUCUGAACUUGACUAAAACUUGCAGCUUGUUCUAAUGUGAAACAGGCUAUUUUAUCUGCAGGCUAAGAGAACCAAGAAGGCUGGGAUGUUCAUUUUAGAAUCUGACGUUUUCCAUUAACAAGGAUAUGGUUUGAUAUUCUGAAUUUCGAGAUACUUGUGAUGUUUUAUUAGAAGUUGUCUGCAUAGCAUAGACACCUAUUUUGUAAGAAAUUUUUCUAUUUUAAUAUUAAGUAUUAAUCACAGAAAAAUUAUAAUACAUCUUAAAAUUCUCUUCAACAUUAACAAUAUUCAUAGUAACAAUAAUAAUAGGUGUGAAUUCUACAGUUUUGAUGCUUGUAAUAGUAUAACUGGGAGAAGUAUGUUAAAUUAAUAUUGAUAUUUCUUUGAUAACAAAUGAAAUACUUAAAACAAGAGAAACAAGUAGAACACUCAUAUCUUACUAAGAUGAAUCUAUUGAAACAUAGUUAGCAGUUAGAACAUAACAUUUAAUACAUAGUUGUCUUGUUUCUUAAACAGAGGUUGUAAUACUUUUGAGGUUCCUUUUCCGCAUUUUCUUAUUUCAUUUUCCUGAUUGGGUGUCCAUGGAACAACCGUCUUCUAGUAUUAAUCAUGCAUUGAUGAUUUGUUUUGAUGUUAUACUCCUGUUGUUCUUCCUAUUCAGUUUGUUAACCAAGACAUCCUUAAAAUACACAAAUGUUCCUUCUUGCCUUUUGAGAUUCUCACGUUUAUAGUUGACUUGUGCUAUUUUCAAUGGUUUACUGAGUGUACUGUAUUUGUCCUUGUUCAUUUCGGUGUUUGGAGAACAAGUGAAGAAAACCCAUAGUACCUUGUUCCAUGGAAUUACAUGGUUAACAGUAAAGUUUAACAAGAAGCCUUAGGGGGAACCAUUUAUAUUUCAUACCCAUUUAGGGAAUUGACUCACUUUUCUCUUAUGUGAGAGAUAUUUGUCCAAUCCUGUUUAGUACCUUGUAUGACUAUGCUGAAUAAAUAACAUUACAUAUGCAUCACACUUUGUAUCACUCGUUUCUUCUAUUAUCAGUGAUAUAUGUAUCAUCUUUUGAAAUAUGAUUGAUACUACUCUUUUGUCUACUCAACUGCUGCAAACGUUGAUGCUAGAUACUUCGGCUGUCUGCUUUUUGAAUAACAUACAUCAGGUACUUUUUGUCAAGUACUGACUCAUAAUACAAGAAGCCAGAGCACAACAUUAUGUAAAUAGCAUAAAAUGUUUAGUAAAAAUUUAGUACAGGAUGUAAAUAUCUGAUGUAAACAAUAUCUGAUGUAAACAAUGCAGCUGCAACUAAUAUAAACUCUGGUUAGCAAUAUAUAUAAUAGCUAUAUCUAUCUUA